rnacentral:lncRNA from 1 species
UUGUUGUGAUUCCCACAAGGUCUUUUAUAAGGAAUUUGGAUCUCAACCCCACUAAGAAAAUUAGUAUUUUUUCGUUCAUCAUACUUGAGGGUUAUGAUAUUCGAUAAAAAUAGUGGGAGUAACAAUUAGAUAAAAGUCCUUGUCUGAUUGAAUACAUGUCAUCAUGAUUGGUCUGCUUAUAUUAGUGUUCUUUGUAAUUAUAGAUUAAUUCUGCAAAAAUGGCAUCUUCACUCUCACUUAGAGGUAUCUUAGAUACAAACAAAUUGACUGGUCCCAACUAUGUGGAUUGGUUGAGGAAUUUAAAGAUUGUUCUCACACAAGAAAAACUUUCCUACAUUC